ACGAACGCUGGCGGCGUGCUUAACCCAUGCAAGUCGAACGGUGAAGCGCCUUCCUUUUUGGUGGGUGUGGAUGAGUGGCGAACGGGUGAGUAACACGUGAGUAACCUGCCCCCUUCUUCUGGAUAACCGCAUGAAAGUGUGGCUAAUACGGGAUAUUCUGGGUCUGUCGCAUGAUGGGUCUGGGAAAGAUAUUGUUUCGGUGGGGGAUGGGCUCGCGGCCUAUCAGCUUGUUGGUGGGGUGAUGGCCUACCAAGGCGGUGACGGGUAGCCGGCCUGAGAGGGUGGACGGUCACACUGGGACGGAGACACGGCCCAGACUCCUACGGGAGGCAGCAGUGGGGAAUAUUGCACAAUGGGCGCAAGCCUGAUGCAGCGACGCCGCGUGAGGGAUGGAGGCCUUCGGGUUGUGAACCUCUUUCGCCAGUGAAGCAGGCCUGCCUCGUUUGUGGGUGGGUUGACGGUAGCUUGAUAAGAAGCGCCGGCUAACUACGUG
rnacentral:rRNA from 1 species